CCCGAGACUUCCAGCCUGUGCGCGUUCGGCUGUCCUUACUCCUCACUCCUUACAUAUUCAAAUAUCAGAACCAGCGGCAGCAAGCAACCAAGACAGAGAAAGGGAGCGAGACUGCGAGAGAGAGAGAGAGAGAGAGAUUUCCUGCUGCGAUUUAGGGAUUUUUUGAGAAAUGGAAUGGCAAGCAUCUCCGGACGAAUACGAGAAGCUUGUGAUCCGGAUGAAUACACCGAGGGUCGUCAUCGAUAAUACGGUUUGCGCCACGGCAACUCUGGUUAAGGUCGAUAGUGCGAGGAGAGAUGUGAUACUUCUUGAGGCCGUGCAGGUGCUCACCGACCUCGAUCUGUCGAUAAGAAAGGCAUACAUCUCUUCCGACGGCUGCUGGUUCAUGAACGUUUUCCAUGUUACUGACAGAUACGGCCAGAAAGUCACCGACAAGCGCGUCAUAGCUUAUAUUGAGCGUUCUCUAGGCACCGAAGAAGACGACUUCACCACCGGAUCUCGAGACAUCGAGGCCUUCACGACCCUAGAGCUCGUCGGCACCGACCGCCCUGGACUCCUCUCUGAGAUCUUUGCCGUCCUCGCUAACCUCGGUUGCAGCAUCGUGGAGGCGAAGCUCUGGGCUUACAAAGGCAGCAUCGCCGGCCUCCUUUUCGUUGAGGAGGAGGACUCCGGCUUACCAAUCGAGGACUCCGACAAGAUUCGUCAUAUCCAGGCUCGCCUCGGGUACGUCGUCCGUGGAUCCACCACCGCCUUGUCGUCUUCCUCAGCCUCCUACGUCUUCCGUGGCACAAACGCCGAUCGCCGCAUACAUCAGCUGAUGUUCGCCGAUCGCGACUACGAGCGAGCCGUGGCCUCCGGAGAACCAUCCGUUUCCGUUCAGAACUGGACGGAACGGGGCUAUUCCAUCGUCAACGUUCAGUGCAGCGACCGCCCGAAGCUCCUUUUCGACGUCCUGUGCACAAUCACGGACAUGGGAUACGUCAUUUUCCACGGCACGAUCGACACCACUGGCGAUCAUGCCUACCAAGAAUUCUACAUGCGGCACUCGGAUGGGAGCCCGAUUUGCUCCGAAGCGGAGCGGCAGAGAGUGGUCCAGUGCUUGCAAGCAGCCAUCGAGCGCAGAGCAUCCGAGGGUUUGAGAUUGGAGCUUUGCUCGGCGGAUCCGCUGACUGUAGCCGAGGCAACUAGAACUUUCAGGGAGAACGGUCUAACGGUGACAAGAGCAGAGAUGUCGACGAAAGGAGAGACGGCAGUAAACGUCUUCUACGUGACCGACGCCGGCGGCCACCUGCCCGGCCGAAAGACGAUAGAAGCUGUCAUGGAACGCUUCGGCGACGACUGCCUCAAGGCCUGCGAAGACCGGCCAUUGCGAACCGGGAAGAUGAAGUCCGGUUCGGACCGGGACGAACCGUCGUCCGGUAGCGGGGGGUUGCUGCGCCUGGGCAGCUUGGUGAUGCGGAAUCUAAGCAAUCUGGGCCUCAUCAGGUCCUCAUAAUGAAACCGCCGAACUGAUUGCUCGCAUAGUUGUAUGAAAAGAAUGGAUAAAGCCCAUUUGUACUGAAUGUAUAGUUAAAGAAAAAUACAUAGAUAGAAAGAAAAUAUGAUGAAUAUACUUUAUAGAAUAUGAGAGAUUAUUCUGUGCGAAAACCUGAUAUUUAGAGACGAAUCAGGUGUAGCCAUGUCAUCUAGUACCGAGCGAACCGAGCAGGGUAUCGAGCUCGGUACAGAGCAGUACCAAGCCGCAGUACUGAGUAUGGGUGAUGUGGCACAUUUUUAUUGGGCUCUGGACGACAUUCGGCAUACGCACAGAAUAAUUUUUCGUAGAAUAGAGUGUCUUGUAAAAUAUUUUCUAUUUAGUUCUUUACAUAAAAUGUUGAAAUUUGUGGUUAGAAUUGAAUGAUAGAUUAAGGCUUUCUUUGUGAUAGCUUUUUUUUA